rnacentral:rRNA from 1 species
UGAGGAAUAUUGGUCAAUGGACGAGAGUCUGAACCAGCCAAGUAGCGUGCAGGACGACGGCCCUAUGGGUUGUAAACUGCUUUUGUACGGGGAUAAAGUGAGCCACGUGUGGUUUAUUGCAGGUACCGUACGAAUAAGGACCGGCUAAUUCCGUGCCAGCAGCCGCGGUAAUACGGAAGGUCCAGGCGUUAUCCGGAUUUAUUGGGUUUAAAGGGAGCGUAGGCCGCCCCUUAAGCGUGUUGUGAAAUGCCGCGGCUCAACCGUGGCACUGCAGCGCGAACUGAGGGGCUUGAGUGCACGCAACGCAGGCGGAAUUCGUGGUGUAGCGGUGAAAUGCUUAGAUAUGACGAAGAACUCCGAUUGCGAAGGCAGCUGACGGGAGCGUUACUGACGCUUAAGCUCGAAAGUGCGGGUAUCGAACAGGAUUAGAUACCCUGGUAGU